GUAGGGAAUAUUGCACAAUGGACGAAAGUCUGAUGCAGCGACGCCGCGUGAGUGAUGAAGGCCUUCGGGUUGUAAAGCUCUGUUCUCAGGGAAUAAAAAAAUGAAGGUACCUGAGGAGAAAGGACCGGCUAACUUCGUGCCAGCAGCCGCGGUAAUACGAGGGGUCCAAGCGUUGCUCGGAAUCAUUGGGCGUAAAGCGGGUGUAGGUGGCUUUGUAAGUCAGGAGUGAAAGCCCUAGGCUCAACCUAGGAAGUGCUUUUGAUACUGCGAAGCUUGAAUGUGGGAGAGGAUCGUGGAAUUCCAGGUGUAGUGGUGAAAUACGUAGAUAUCUGGAGGAACACCGGUGGCGAAGGCGGCGAUCUGGCCCAACAUUGACACUCAGACCCGAAAGUGCGGGGAUCAAACAGGAUUAGAAACCCCAGUAGUCC
rnacentral:rRNA from 1 species